rnacentral:rRNA from 1 species
CCUACGGGAGGCAGCAGUGGGGAAUAUUGGGCAAUGGAGGAAACUCUGACCCAGCGACGCCGCGUGCGGGAUGAAGGCCUUCGGGUUGUAAACCGCUUUCAGUAGGGAAGAAGCGAAAGUGACGGUACCUACAAAAGAAGCACCGGCUAACUAUGUGCCAGCAGCCGCGGUAAUACAUAGGGUGCAAGCGUUGUCCGGAAUUAUUGGGCGUAAAGAGCUCGUAGGUCGUUUGUUACGUCGGAUGUGAAAACCUGAGGCUCAACCUCAGGCCUGCAUUCGAUACGGGCAAACUAGAGUUUGGUAGGGGAGACUGGAAUUCCUGGUGUAGCGGUGGAAUGCGCAGAUAUCAGGAGGAACACCAAUGGCGAAGGCAGGUCUCUGGGCCAAUACUGACACUGAGGAGCGAAAGUCUGGGGAGCGAACAGGAUUAGAUACCCUGGUAGUCCAGACCGUAAACGGUGGGCACUAGUUGUGGGAACCUUCCACGGUUUCUGCGACGCAGCUACGCAUAGUGCCCGCCGUCGGGAGGUACGAGCGCGAGAGUAAACGUACGAAGAAGUAGUAACGGUCGUGAGAGUGCGACGGACGACGACGAGGGAGGAGG